rnacentral:lncRNA from 1 species
AAGCCUGAGGGGAUUUGGGGUAAAAAGUUGCGGAUUUGUGAAUUCUACAAAAAGUUUAAAGGAGAUUUGGGUUUAAAAUUCCGAGUUUGAGAAGUUUGUGAGGGAAUUUGAGGGGAAAUCGCGGUUCGGGUUUAAAUCUCCGGUUUUGAGGAGUUUGUGAGGAGAUUUGGGUUUAAAUUUAAGAUUUUUGUGAGGGGAUUUUGAGCUAAAAGUCGCGGUUUUGAUGAGUUUUAGGACAAAUCUGAGGGGAUUUGGGGUAGAAAUUGCGGAUUUUUGUGAGUUUUGGGAAAUAUCUGAGGAGAUUUUAAAGCUCCGGGUUUGAGAAAUUCGUGAGGGAAUUUGAGGUCAAAGUCGCGAUUUUGAUGAAUUCCGUUAAAAUUCUGAGGGGAUUUAAUUUUUAAACUCCAAUUUUUGGUGGAUGUUUUAGGAGAUUUGAGGUUUUAAUGAGUUUGAGGAGGAAUUGAAGGCGAUUUAAGGUUUAAAACCCAUUUUUUGGUGAAUUUAUGCGGGAAUUUGGGGGAAAUAUCGCAUUUGGGGUAAAACUCGGAUUUUUAUCAUUUUGAAGAGAUUUGAUUUGAUAAUUCAAGAUGAAAUCCUUGUUUUGGUUGGAUUUUAGCAAAAAAAAAAAAUUAAUUUUGGUGACUUUAGGAGAGAAUUUGAUGCAAAACUUGUGGGUUUGGGCACUUUUACAAUUUGAGGUAAAAAGUGAAGUUUUUGUUAAAUUUUCAGCAGAUUUCAGGUAAAAGUUGCAAAUUUUUGUGGAUCCCUGAGGAAUUUGAGGCCAAAUCCUCAUUUUCCGCGUGUUUAGGAGGGAAUUUGAGGUAAAAAUUCCGUUUUUUGAGGUGCGUUGAGGUUUUGAGGGGAUUUGAGGUAAAAAUCACAUUUUUUGUGGGUUUAUGAGGGGGUUUGAGGCAAAAAAAUCCAAUUUUUGGUUGCUUUGUGAGGGAUUUUUGAGGGGAUUUUGGUCAGAAAUUCAGAAUUUUGUGGGUUUUUGGGGGAAAUUCUGGGGAUUUCAGGGAGGGCAACAAAAAAAGGGAAUUAAUAAAAAUGAAGAAUUUCUGGAAAUUGGAAAUUUUCCUGAUUUUGCCCCAAUUUCAGGCGCUGAUGUUGGAGAACCUCCAGAAGCACUCGAGCCCCCACCCCACUUUCCAGCCCAAUUCCCAGAUGGGCGAGGCCAUGGGGCAGAACAGCUUCAUCAAGCAGUACCUGGAGAAGCAGCAGGAGCUGCUGCAGCAGCGCCGGGACCCCCCCGAGCCCCACGGUGAGACCCCGAAAACC